UAGGGAAUCUUCGGCAAUGGGGGGAACCCUGACCGAGCAACGCCGCGUGAGUGAAGAAGGUUUUCGGAUCGUAAAGCUCUGUUGUUAAGGAAGAACGAGUGCGAGAAUGGAAAGUUCAUGCUGUGACGGUACUUAACCAGAAAGGGACGGCUAACUACGUGCCAGCAGCCGCGGUAAUACGUAGGUCCCGAGCGUUGUCCGGAUUUAUUGGGCGUAAAGCGAGCGCAGGCGGUUAGAAAAGUCUGAAGUGAAAGGCAGUGGCUCAACCAUUGUAGGCUUUGGAAACUGUUUAACUUGAGUGCAGAAGGGGAGAGUGGAAUUCCAUGUGUAGCGGUGAAAUGCGUAGAUAUAUGGAGGAACACCGGUGGCGAAAGCGGCUCUCUGGUCUGUAACUGACGCUGAGGCUCGAAAGCGUGGGGAGCGAACAGG
rnacentral:rRNA from 1 species